AGGCUGUGGCCCCUUCCCACAGAGUCCCCUGUCUCUGCAGCGGCAGAGAGCCGGGACCUCCUGUGCCAGGAAGGAGGUACAGCAGGAGUCUGUUCAGUCAGACAGACUCUGUGACUCCUGGAGGCCUCCUGUGUCAGCUCCUUAGCCCGGAUUCUCCCUUGAACUAAGACAUCCCAGAUCACAUAGAAUGGGACUCAGUGAGGAGGGAUUGUUCAGCACCAUGACCUGUGACAUUGUUCUUGUGACCCUGACAUGACAGUGAACCAGGGUCUCUGUGACAGUGAAUGGCCAGUCAGCUGUGUGUUGUGCAGGUCCGUGUGGGCAGGGGCAGGACUCUAAUCACAGUCUACAGAAACAUGUCUUUGUAAUGAAAUGGUAACUAGGAUUUUCAACUAUGAUUGUGAUGUUUACUGACAGAAUUCUCACACAUGAAAAGAAAAUGACAAUAACAAAAAUUUGAAUAUGUGUUGUGUGAAUAACAUGACCCACUCAAAGAAAGAAACCGCUAGACAGAACUGACUCAUCUGAGUCCCAGAUGUCCCCGCUGAGGAGUGUGGAAAGGGGAGAGUUCUGGUUUUACCAUCAUUCCCCUCCCACUCUGCUGCUGA